GACUCGGCUCAUCUAGGAGUCGAUUCAGGAAAUACUAUGUCUCAGUAUAGUUCUCUAUCUUUUGAUCAUGGCUGUAGUUGGCUGAAGUUGGGAUUGACUUAUCCCAAGCUAGGGUCAACUAAUGAAUUGCUUGGAUCAACUUGGAAAUAGGCUAGUUUUCACCACUCUCUAUCUUUAUCUUGAAUUACUUUAGGGUCAACUCAUAUUCUGUUG
rnacentral:lncRNA from 1 species